rnacentral:rRNA from 2 species
AGCAGCCGCGGUAAUUCCAGCUCCAAUAGCGUAUAUUAAAGUUGUUGCAGUUAAAAAGCUCGUAGUUGAAUUUCGGGAUCAGAUUGUCGGUCGUGCCUCGGUACGCACUGGCAUUAUUGGUUCCUACCUUCUGAAGAACCGCGAUGUCAUUAAUUUGGUGUCGUGGGGAAUCAGGACUGUUACUUUGAAAAAUUAGAGUGUUUAAAGCAGGCGCACGCUUGAAUACAUUAGCAUGGAAUAAUGAAAUAGGACGUUUGAUUCUAUUUUGUUGGUUUCUAGGAUCGACGUAAUGAUUAAUAGGGAUAGUUGGGGGCAUUAGUAUUCAAUUGUCAGAGGUGAAAUUCUUGGAUUUAUUGAAGACUAACUACUGCGAAAGCAUUUGCCAAGGAUGUUUUCAUUAAUCAAGAACGAAAGUUAGGGGAUCGAAGACGAUCAGAUACCGUCGUAGUC